rnacentral:rRNA from 1 species
UACAGAGGGUGCAAGCGUUAAUCGGAAUUACUGGGCGUAAAGGGUGCGUAGGCGGUUUGAUAAGUUGGUUGUGAAAGUCCUGGGCUUAACCUGGGAAUUGCGACUAAUACUGUCGAGCUAGAGUACUGUAGAGGAAGGUGGAAUUUCCGGUGUAGCGGUGAAAUGCGUAGAUAUCGGAAGGAACACCAGUGGCGAAGGCGACCUUCUGGACAGAUACUGACGCUGAGGCACGAAAGCAUGGGGAGCAAACAGG